GGUCCCAUGGUCUAGUGGUGAAGACAUUGAAAUUUGAAUCAAGUAACCUAAGUUCAAAUCUCGGUGGGACCU
rfam:Picea glauca, whole genome shotgun sequence.